UGAAGCCUUACUAGCGUUCUCCUGUUCCUCUGCCAAUG
rnacentral:sRNA from 1 species